UAUGAAUAUAAUGAAAUAUUGACUAUUUUUAAAGGACAAUUUUUGUCAAAAGACAAACACUGUAAACUAAAAACAUAAAACGAGCAAUAAUGAGGAUAAAAUAUACUUUAUUAAACAUGAAAAUAUUAUGAAGUCCAUUUCAGAAGUCAUAUGUAUUAGUAAACAUGCACAGUAACUUCCCCUGACAACGGAUCGUGAUUGGUAAACACACGAGUAAUGUUCGAUUCAUAAACGCAUGACCCCUACCAGACAACAUACUGUAUCCAAACAUUCUAACAGGUAAACAACUUCCCCAAACAUUCUAACAGGUAAACAACUUCCCCAAACAUUCUAACAGGUAAACAACUUCUAACAGGUAAACAACUUCCCCAAACAUUCUAACAGGUAAACAACUUCCCCAAACAUUCUAACAGGUAAACAACUUCUAACAGGUAAACAACUUCCCCAAACAUUCUAACAGGUAAACAACUUCUAACAGGUAAACAACUUCCCCAAACAUUCUAACAGGUAAACAACUUCCCCAAACAUUCUAACAGGUAAACAACUUCUAACAGGUAAACAACUUCCCCAAACAUUCUAACAGGUAAACAACUUCUAACAGGUAAACAACUUCCCCAAACAUUCUAACAGGUAAACAACUUCCCCAAACAUUCUAACAGGUAAACAACUUCCCCAAACAUUCUAACAGGUAAACAACUUCUAACAGGUAAACAACUUCCCCAAACAUUCUAACAGGUAAACAACUUCUAACAGGUAAACAACUUCCCCAAACAUUCUAACAGGUAAACAACUUCCCCAAACAUUCUAACAGGUAAACAACUUCCCCAAACAUUCUAACAGGUAAACAACUUCUAACAGGUAAACAACUUCCCCAAACAUUCUAACAGGUAAACAACUUCUAACAGGUAAACAACUUCCCCAAACAUUCUAACAGGUAAACAACUUCCCCAAACAUUCUAACAGG